rnacentral:rRNA from 1 species
UACGUAGGGGGGCUAGCGUUGUCCGGAUUUAUUGGGCGUAAAGAGCGUGUAGGCGGCCAAGUAGGUCCGGUGUGAAAACUCGAGGCUUAACCUCGAGAUGUCAUCGGAAACCAUUUGGCUAGAGUCCGGAAGAGGAAAGUGGAAUUCCUGGUGUAGCGGUGAAAUGCGCAGAUAUCAGGAAAGAACACCAAUGGCGAAAAGCAG